UUUGCGACUGCUUCUGGUCGAAGUAUUCCAAUAUUCUGAACGUUCGUCACUGCUAUCUGUCAAUAAUUCCUGAAGUUCUCCUGGAAACAGCAUGCGGAGGUGCAAGUGCAUCCAAUUCCUUACGUUUCUUCAUUUUCUUCGUUGGUUGACGAAGCGGAACGGUAACUGCUACUGAGUCCAUUUCAAGUAAAACCUCCUCCUUCGUCUCCUUUAUUUACAUAUACUUAUUAUUCUUAAGGUGAAGUAUAUAUCUUAUUGGGGCAAUUUAAUAUGUUAUAUUAUGAUCAUUAAGGUUGUAAUCUUUAAAAAUGCUAACAGUUCAUUGUAUCUAAUAAAUGUCCGAUGUAUUUCAUCGCAAAA
rnacentral:lncRNA from 1 species